rnacentral:rRNA from 1 species
UAUGGUGUAGGCGCGGCAAACGGCUCAGUAACACGUGGCCAACCUACCCUUGGGACGGAGACAACCCCGGGAAACUGGGGCUAAUCCCCGAUAGGUGAGGAAUCCUGGAAUGGACCCUCGCCCAAAAGACGUUGAGUCCAUGCUAUUCAGCGUCGCCCAAGGAUGGAGCCGCGACCGAUCAGGUAGUUGGUGAGGCAACGGCUCACCAAGCCUAUAACCGGUACGGGCCGUGAGAGCGGGAGCCCGGAGAUGGGCACUGAGACAAGGGCCCAGGCCCUACGGGGCGCAGCAGUUGCGAAAACUCCGCAAUGCGCGAAAGCGUGACGGGGCUACCCCGAGUGCCGCCCGUUGAGGGCGGCUUUUCCACGGUGUAAGGAGCCGUGGGAAUAAGGAGAGGGCAAGACUGGUGUCAGCCGCCGCGGUAAUACCAGCUCUCCGAGUGGUGGGGACGAUUAUUGGGCUUAAAGCGUUCGUAGCCGGCUUAACAAGUCUUCCGUUAAAUCCAACGAUCUAAUCGUUGGGCUGCGGGAGAUACUGUUGGGCUAGGAGGCGGGAGAAGCCGACGGUAUUCUCGGGGUAGGGGUGAAAUCCUGUAAUCCCGGGAGGACCACCAGUGGCGAAGGCGGUCGGCUAGAACGCGCUCGACGGUGAGGGACGAAAGCUGGGGGAGCGAACCGGGUUAGAUACCCGGGUAGUCCCAGCUGUAAACGAUGC